rnacentral:tmRNA from 1 species
AGACUAAGUUUGUAAUCGGUUGCAUUCUCGCCUGUUACUUAUCGAAAAUUAAGGGGAUGCUAAGCAUGUAGAAGGCGUAUUUUCGCUUUGUCUGGACGAGGGUUCGAAUCCCUCCAGCUCCACCU